AUUUAUUUAUUUAUUUAUUUUGCUUUUUAGGGCCACACCUAUGGCAUAUGGAGUUUCCCAGGCUAGGGGUCCAAGGGGAGCUACAACUGUCGGCCUACGCCACAGCCACAGCAACACAGGAUCCAAGCCUCAUCUGCGACCUACAUCACAGCUCAUGGCAUGGCCAGAUCCCUAACCCAAUGAGCGAGGCCAGGGAUCAAACCCACAACCUCAUGGGUUCCUAAUCAGAUUCGUUUCUGCUGCACCAUGAUGGGAACUCCCCAAACUCAUGAUCUUAAAGGGAGAUUUCACCUCAAACAAUACCAAGACCUGUCCAGGACUGUUACUAGAAUUAAUUUUUUAAUUAUAAAAUCAUUAAGUCAGAUGUGACUUCUCUUACUUAAAAGAUGAUUUUUAUUUUUACAAAAAGGACCAAAUGAUUGGCAUUUGGGGCAUUUAUAGUUUAAAGGUUUUGUAAGAAAAAAUGGAGGCUAGUAUGGAAGCUUUAUUUUUAUUUUUUUUAAUUUUUUUGUCUUUUUGCUAUUUCUUGGGCUGCUCCCGUGGCAUAUGGAGGUUCCCAGGCUAGGGGUCAAAUCGGAGCUGUAGCUACACCAGAGCCACAGUGACGCAGGAUCCGAGCUGCGUCUGCAACCUACACCACAGCUCACGGCAACGCCGGAUCGCUGCUGAAAGGAGCUAAAGAAGAGACAGGCUGAAUACACAAAGAAGAAAUAAAAUCCCUGAAGAGAUGUCACAAGAGGAGGCAACAGUGGAGAUUGGAUGAGGGGAGAACCAAAGCAGGAGUGAGGGGAGAGUGAACCUGGAGGUGGCGUAGGGGGAAAGUGGUGGUUGUUGUGUGUGAUAGCCUCUGUGAAGACCUUGGUCACAGUUGGGAUUUGGGUUUGGAGAGGGGACAUGAUUAGUCCACAGUCUCAUCUACUCCAACUUCACAGCCCCCAUUCUCAAAUUUGGAAAAAGGAGAAAGAAGAGAGGGGGAAAGACGGGGGAGUGCUCCGCUGUAUAAAGGAGAAAAAUUAAUUCAGAACAGUUUGUAUCCACUCAAAAUCCGAGAGCCAUUUAAAGUGUAAAAAUGGAAACCUUUGGCUAUGCUUCCCCAAACAAGUCAGGGGGCAGCGACCCUGCUCUGAGUCACUGGUGACUCUGUCCUUGAAUCAUAUUCUUGUCUUAUCCCUAAUUAGGAACUUUUAAUCAAUUGGCCUCACCUUUAGAUUUGGGGGCAUGGAUACAGCAAGCUUGGUUUAAUGCCACUUCAUUAAGAAAACAGUUACAAAGGUGUUUAUGUCCAUGUUACAGGAAGAUGAGGUUGCAAUCCUAAGAGAAGAAUCACAGUCUCCUAAGCCCUGGCCUUGUCCUUCUCAUUACAACAAUUUCACAAGAAUAUAAAAGUAAUGGAUCCAGAUGUAUCUAAAGGCACAUUCAAGAUGCAAGGGAGCCAAAAAAUAACAUGUUUCUUAUUUUCUCUGAAUCAACAAAGAUCCAACUUGAAGCCUCUGUCUUGCUGGGCUGGCAGGAAAAUCUAAACAAUAAUAAUGGAACAAUAACAAUCUCAAUCAUGACUGAGACCUUUCCUAGGCGGGUGUCUAUUACCCAGAAGCACCAAAGCUCCAGGGAGCUCCUCCCCAACCCUCAUGGUCACUUGUCAGCUGUCCACGUUGGGUUUUUGCUUCACAACUUCUGGCUCUGUGCUAUGAUGAGGCAGAGGAAUUAACUGUACAAUUAAGAACUCAAUAUCUAAGUCCAGAUUCUUGCUAGAACUCCUCUAAAGACUUGCUGGGUCCCCAGGCACUGUGACUGAAUGACACAAGGAACCUUUCUUCUCAGAGGACUCAACUGUCAGAGUUGUAUAUUUAGGAAGAGGGAAAGCUCUAGCAAAUCCUUUUUUCUUUUCUCAUUGCCCUCACAAGAUACACAGUGGUAAAAACCUUGUCACCAAGUUGAGGCUUUUACAGAAGACAGGAAAUGCUCUUGAUAGAAACCAAAAAAAUACAAAAACCAAAGCAAAUGUUAGAAAUAAUACUAAAACAUGGCUAUGUGCUUUAAGUGGGGUCAUGGGCCAGCUGGAAGAAUAAACACCAGUUAAUAUUGUAAUCAUUUGGCCUAAUUUUAAUAUGAGAUUUUAAAAAAAUCGAAAGGUCUUAUUAGAAACAAUUCAUACCACUUUUAUUCAACGCAGUAUUGGAAGUCCUAGCCAUAGCAAUUAGACAAAAGAAAUAAAAGAUAUCCAAAUUGGAAGAGAAGAGGUAAAACUGUCACUAUGCAGAUGACAUGAUACUAUACAAAGAAAACCCUAAGGACUCCAAACAAAAACUACUCGAACUGAUCAAUGAAUUCAGCAGUGUAGCUGGAUACAAAAUUAAUAUUCAGAAAUCAGUUGCAUUUUUGUAUACUAACAAUGAAAUAUUAAAAAAGGAAUAUAAAAAUACCUUUUAAAAUCG
ensembl:lncRNA